CCUUGUGGAUGAGCAAAGAAAAUAGUUUUUUUGAGAUGAAAUCUACUUCUGGUGAAGAUGCUGUGAA
rnacentral:pre_miRNA from 1 species